GCCUGGGUGGCUCAGUCGGUUGAGCGUCCGACUUCAGCUCAGGUCACGAUCUCACAGCUUGCGGGUUCGAGCCCCGCGUCGGGCU
rfam:Felis catus isolate Cinnamon breed Abyssinian chromosome E1, whole genome shotgun sequence.